AACGUAGGGUGCAAGCGUUGUCCGGAAUUACUGGGUGUAAAGGGAGCGCAGGCGGGAAGACAAGUUGGAAGUGAAAACCAUGGGCUCAACCCAUGAAUUGCUUUCAAAACUGUUUUUCUUGAGUAGUGCAGAGGUAGAUGGAAUUCCCGGUGUAGCGGUGGAAUGCGUAGAUAUCGGGAGGAACACCAGUGGCGAAGGCGGUCUACUGGGCACCAACUGACGCUGAGGCUCGAAAGCAUGGGUAGCAAACAGGAUUAGAUACCCCGGUAGU
rnacentral:rRNA from 1 species